rnacentral:misc_RNA from 1 species
GAAAUGCGAUAAGUAAUGUGAAUUGCAGAAUUCAGUGAAUCAUCGAAUCUUUGAACGCACAUUGCGCCCGCCAGUAUUCUGGCGGGCAUGCCUGUCCGAGCGUCAUUUCAACCAUCAAGCCCCCGGGCUUGUGUUGGGGACCUGCGGCUGCCCGCAGGCCCUGAAAACCAGUGGCGGGCUCGCUGUCACACCGAGCGUAGUAGCAAUCACCUCGCUCAGGGCGUGCUGCGGGUUCCGGCCGUUAAACAGCCUUACAAAACCCAAGGUUGACCUCGGAUCAGGUAGGAAGACCCGCUGAACCUAAGC